rnacentral:rRNA from 1 species
AGUGAGGAAUUUUCCGCAAUGGGCGAAAGCCUGACGGAGCAAUACCGCGUGGAGGAGGAAGGCCCGUGAGUCGUAAACUCCUUUUCUCAGAGAAGAACACAAUGACGGUAUCUGAGGAAUAAGCAUCGGCUAACUCCGUGCCAGCAGCCGCGGUAAUACGGAGGAUGCAAGCGUUAUCCGGACUGAUUGGGUGUAAAGCAUCUGUAGGCGGUUUUGGAAGUCUACGGUUAAAUCCCAGAGCUUAACUUUGGUUCAGCCGUAGAGUACUUCAAAGCUUGAGUAUGGUAGGGGUAGAGGGAACUUCUCGUGGAGCGGUGAGAUGCACAGAGAUGAGAAGGAACACCAGUGGCGAAAGCGCUCUACUGGGCCAUGACUGACGCUGAGAGAUGACAGCUGAGGGAGCGAAUAGGAUUAGAUACCCUAGUAGUCUCAGCCGUAAACGAUGGAUACUAGAUGUUGCCACAAGCAGUGUCGAAGCUAACGCGUUAAGUAUCCCACCUGGGGAGUACGUACGCAAGUAUG